AGACCCGAAACCCGGUGAUCUAGCCAUGGGCAGGUUGAAGGUUGGGUAACACUAACUGGAGGACCGAACCGACUAAUGUUGAAAAAUUAGCGGAUGACCUGUGGCUGGGGGUGAAAGGCCAAUCAAACCGGGAGAUAGCUGGUUCUCCCCGAAAGCUAUUUAGGUAGCGCCUCGUGAAUUCAUCUCCGGGGGUAGAGCACUGUUUCGGCUAGGGGGCCAUCCCGGCUUACCAACCCGAUGCAAACUGCGAAUACCGGAGAAUGUUAUCACGGGAGACACACGGCGGGUGCUAACGUCCGUCGUGAAGAGGGAAACAACCCAGACCGCCAGCUAAGGUCCCAAAGUCAUGGUUAAGUGGGAAACGAUGUGGGAAGGCCCAGACAGCCAGGAUGUUGGCUUAGAAGCAGCCAUCAUUUAAAGAAAGCGUAAUAGCUCACUGGUCGAGUCGGCCUGCGCGGAAGAUGUAACGGGGCUAAACCAUGCACCGAAGCUGCGGCAGCGACGUUUAUGCGUUGUUGGGUAGGGGAGCGUUCUGUAAGCCUGCGAAGGUGGCCUGUGAGGGUUGCUGGAGGUAUCAGAAGUGCGAAUGCUGACAUAAGUAACGAUAAAGCGGGUGAAAAGCCCGCUCGCCGGAAGACCAAGGGUUCCUGUCCAACGUUAAUCGGGGCAGGGUGA
rnacentral:rRNA from 1 species